GAUGAACGCUGGCGGCGUGCCUAACACAUGCAAGUCGAACGGUAACAGGUUCUCACUAUGCUUUUGAAGUUUUCGAAGGUUUAGUGAGAAUGCUGACGAGUGGCGGACGGCUGAGUAACGCGUGGGAACGUGCCCCAAAGUGAGGGAUAAGCACCGGAAACGGUGUCUAAUACCGCAUAUGAUCUUCGGAUUAAAGCAGCAAUGCGCUUUGGGAGCGGCCUGCGUCGGAUUAGGUUGUUGGUGAGGUAAUGGCUCACCAAGCCGACGAUCCGUAGCUGGUCUGAGAGGAUGACCAGCCAGACUGGAACUGAGACACGGUCCAGACUCCUACGGGAGGCAGCAGUGAGGAAUCUUCCACAAUGGGGGCAACCCUGAUGGAGCAACGCCGCGUGCAGGAUGAAGGCCUUCGGUCGUAACUGCUUUAUUAAGUGUAGGAAGUAAUAGUACGGUAACGUUAACUUAGUAAGUAACGGUAAGUACGGUACCGUAACCUAACCGUUACGUCCCGACGCACGGACCC
rnacentral:rRNA from 1 species